GACGAACGCUGGCGGCGUGCUUAACACAUGCAAGUCGAACGGAAAGGCCCUGCUUGCAGGGUACUCGAGUGGCGAACGGGUGAGUAACACGUGGGUGAUCUGCCCUGCACUUCGGGAUAAGCCUGGGCAACUGGGUCUAAUACCGGAUAUGACCUUCCAUGUAGUGUGGGGGGUGGAAAGAUUUAGCGGUGUGGGAUGAGCCCGCGGCCUAUCUGCGUGUUGGUGGGGUAAUGGCCUACCAAGGCGUCGACGGGUAACCGGCCUGAGAGGGUAGACGGCCACAUUGGGACUGAGAUACGGCCCAGACGCCUACGGUAGGCAGCAGUGGGGAAUAUUGCACAAUGGGCGGAAGCCUUAUGCAGCGACGCCGCGUGGGGGAUGACGGCCUUCGGGUUGUAAACCUCUUUCGACAGGGACGAAGCUUCGGUGACGGUACCUGUAGAAGAAGCACCGGCUAACUACGUG
rnacentral:rRNA from 1 species